GUUUCCAGGGAGAAGAAUCCAGAGAAAACAUUAAAUGGUUGUCUGGAGCCCCCACCCAAGAUGAUAAAGAAGUGCCCUCGUUAACCCUGGGGAAGCUGACACUCCACCCCCUUGAUCUUCUUGUUCCAGCCCUGUGACCCCAGGAACCGUCUGCUGCGACUAGCACCCAGGAGCUCGUCUCUCUAUUUCUCACCCCAGCGUCUCUCCUCUGGCCCCUUCAUCUCACCUUCUUCCUUCCCACCCAGCACCCAGACCCUGCACUCAGGCAGGUGGGAGUUGGAGUCCUUGCUGGGUGACCGUGGGUCACAUGAGUUAAGAGAGGAUAACUUUAGAGAUGCUGGGAACUUCCUCGCCUGAUCUACCAAAGUCACAGGCAGGAACGAAUCUUUCUCAGAACCCUCCAGAAGACUCCUCUCCACUCCUAUUGGCCAGAAUUGCAUUACAUGUUCAGGCUGAAUCUAUUACUAGCAAGAGGAAGAGUUGCUCACAUUGGCUUAACGUCAUCAAGACCCACGCUCUGGAAGCUGGGGUUGGUCCCAUCUCUCCUGGAUGCACAGGGGCCUCUCUGAGGAGGAGAUAGUGACUGGAAUUGAGGUUUGGUUAGGAAGGAAUGUGGGCUCCUUGCCCCUGGGGGAGGCAACCUAACAGUGCCUGCUGUAGGAACCUACCCACAUACUUGAGAAAGUCUGGCAAGCUUGGAGACCCUGGUAGGACAGAAGAUGAUGGACAAACCAAUAAGCUCAGGGCAGGAUGUCUUUUCAAGGAUGCCGACUUCUGGUCCUCAUUGUCCACACAGGACCCUGUAGAAGCUGUGUCUCAGCUCAGAGGCAAAGGAAAGAGCGAUGUGCCCCACACAUCUGCUGAAAACCCACCUGGAUCCAAGGUCUCCAAAGCAGAGUCUGGGUCUCCCUGGGUGGGGAUCACCCAGGCAGCUCAAGAGAGAACCCCACCACUCAUCUUCCUGGGGCCCAGCCCUUGGCAGCCACUCCCUGAAGGGUCACAGUGGGGGGAUCUGGAGGAAGACCCCUCCAGGAAGGCCUCCUUUCAUGGCCUGGGACCUGGGUGGACCUCGAGGGCCUCACAAAAAUAAAAACUAAAGAAACUAUAAUGUUGGAUCCUGGGCAGCCUUGAAGCUCAGCAGUGAACCUGGAUCUCUUCCCUUUCCUGUAAAUAACGACCUGAAGAGGAAGUAGGACCGCCUGAUGGGACUACAGAGAACGAGGAGCAAGUUGUCCCCGCCCUUCUCAGUCCAGGGAUGUUGCUUCAUCGCCCUCUGAAAUGCAGGCCAGGGAAGCAGCCAGCGCCAGCACAGCAGCUGCCUUAUAAGGACAUGCACCAGGCCUGCCAGGUGAGGAAAGUAACUUGCCCAAGGUCACACAGAUGGUGAUUGGCAGAACUGAAAUUUGACCCCCCGAACGUGGGCUCCAGGGCCUGUGCCCCUGAGCGCUAAGCUACACUGCUGCGAGCUGCUGAGUUCAUACUUGUACCCCCUUCACCUCUUGGGGUUCUGGAGGAAAUGCAGUUGGGAGUCGAGGAUUUUGGUUCCCCAAGCACGGAACUGUUCCUUCCGGAGAGAGCGGCCCACAUGGCUUUGAACACUGUCUAGGCUGAACUGAAACUGAAACAUUUAUUGUCCGUGCAGUGACCUGCAGCCAGGCCCAGCAGCCAGGAGUGGAGAUGUGAAGUUAUGCAACCAGAGGCAGAAUGGAGAAGUGGUCUCCACCAUGCUGUGAAGGAAGUGGAGUGAGAUUCACAAAAGCAAUGCUUUUCACUGUUCACAAAGGCCGUCCUCCCACAGCCUUACUUGGUACAGGUUAUGGGAGAGGACAGGACAGGCUGCUUAGUUCCCCAGAGCCCCUUCUAGUCCUGGGACCCAGGCUGUGUUCUCUUGGUCGCACUCGUCUGCUCAGAUCUCCGCCAUCUGUUUAUGCCAUCUCCAUGUGUUCUUGUCCUCAUCCUCCCGCCCACCAUGACAGGCUUUUCCUGUUUCCAGAACUUCAGCAACUGGUACAUCCUUUUUCCCUUGCAUCAUCACUGCUGCUUUCACCUCCCAGGCUUUGUGUGGCUUUGUUUGUUUACUUGUUUGUUGGUUUUAUAGCAUGAUUCCAUUAAUAUAGAGUUCAAAAACUAGCAAACUAGAUCAUAUUUGCUAAGGGGUGUAUGUUUAGGUGGCAUACUAUAAAGAACAGCCAUACUAUCUAAGCCACCAUUCUAAGCACUUUACACAUAUUAACUCACAUUUAAUCUUUUUAACAACCUUGCCAGCUUGUGUUCUAUCAUUAUCCUUCUAUGGCAGAUGAAGAAAGCAAGCACAGAGCCAUGAAGUCGCCUGUGCAAGGAUACACACAGCUAGUGAGUAGAGGAACCAAGAUGUGAAUGAACACCUUCUGGCUCCAGAAUCCAUGUUAUUACCAUGCUCCCUUGUAAAAACAAAAAAGGCCAAAAGAGCAUGGAAAUGAUGGUUCCAGAAGUCAGAAUGGUAAUUACCUUUAGGAGGGCAAUGGAUUGAAAUCACAAGUGGAUGAGGGAAAGAUCCUGGGGUGCUGGAAGGGGUCCCCUCAUGACCUAGGAGGUGGUUACAUAGGAGUUGACAGUAUACUUAACUGUUGAACUAUGUGUGUCUCUUAUGAAACAUAUAUCAUUGAAGGGUGGAGGGAGGAGGGCGCCAAGCCUGGCAGUUGUGGUUUGUAUUUCACCUGGGUGGAAAGCGAGUGACUUCCCCACAGGCUUUGACUUCUCAGUUGUUCCACUCCCUAAAGCAGCAGAGUCCCUUGCUUCAUGUUGGGGACACUGUGGCACCACAAAGUCUUCUAAAGGGAAGCACCUCCUGGGCACCGAAGGAGCCGGAGUGCAGAGGGGCUUGUGUCCUUGAAAUAACUGCUGUCCUGGGCUCCCUAAUCCCUGGGGCCUGGGCGCAAGCAUAGGGACAAGGCCUUCUUCCAAGCUUCCUGUCAUGGAGCUGAGCAGCCGUCUGCGAAGUCUUCCAGAAAAACCCACCAGGAAGGCCAGAGCAAGGCACAGCCCAAGGCAGUAAGAGCCAAUCCUCCAUGCUCUGUGUCUGACCUGUGACCUCCCAGUGCCUUGACCCUCCUCCCCACGCCAGCUGAGACUCCCACAGGCCAGUACCCUUCAGACCUCUGCCUCCAUCAGAGCUCUCACUGCUGGUGCCCAGGAACAAAGGUCCACUGCUGUGCAGAAUGAGGCUCUAGCUCUUUCAUAAGGGAUUGUCAAGCAGUGAGGUGCGGGACUCCAGAGGUGAGACCCUGCCAUGUUAUUGUCUUCUUCCCACAGCCCCUCGCUUCUCGUAGGGCUCCCCUGCGGGGUCAUUCUUCCUGGGAUUGUGGCUUUGGGGAGAGUCCGUGUCGGCAAUUCUUCAGAAUUCUGGCACUGGUAUGCUAGUGAUGACACCAGAAUUCCCCUUCCACACCCUAAACAGCCUUUCCUGUGAACUCAGCAGGAUCAGCAGAGUCUCCUCCGCUCCCCCUCCGCUCACUCCCCUGGGCUGGCUCCAUCUCUUCCAGUGCACUCACUCCCAGAUUGGCAUCUCACAGUCCUCUCUCCUGACUGCCUAAUGUUCCCCCGCUUCCUGCUAAUACUCAGUAAAUGCUAACAUUUAGGGAUGGUUUACAAUGUGGCAGGCACAAUGUCAAAGUCUUAUAUACAUUAUCUCAUUUAAUCCCAGUUUAACACAGCUCCUGGCACAUGGGAGGGGUUUCACAGAUAUUUCUUGACUGGAUGCAUCCUCACAGCAAUCUUUCAUGGAAGGUACUAUUACUCUCUCCGUUCCACAGAUGAAAAAGUAGGACUCAGAGAUGUUAAAAAACCAGUCAGAGGUGACAAUGAGUGUCAGAGCUGGGAUUCCAAAGGCAUGUCUGUUUCUAGGACUUAUACACUCACCCCACUGAUAAUACUGCAGUUUAUUCAUUCAUUCAGCAAAUAUUGAUCUAGUAUCUACUAUGCGCCAGGAGCUAUUCCAGGUAUAGGGGAUGCAGCAGAGAAUAAAACAGACAAAAUUUCUGCCUUAUAGAGCCUACAUUCUAAUGAGGGAGACAGACAUUAAAUUUAAUAAGUAAGUAACAUUCAUAGUACGAUUAAUAGCGGUAAGAGCUAAUGAAAAAAAUAAAGAAGGAAGGAAAGAGUGGGGGUGUCAUUUAAAUGGGGUGAUCAGGAAGGCAUCAUAGAGAAGAGGAUAGUUGGGUAAACACCUGAAGAAGGUGAGGGAGACAGCUCCUCAGAAAUCAAAGGGAAGAACCUUUGAGAUAGAGGGGGUGCCAAGAGCAAAGGCCCAGAGGCAGGAGGGUUUCCAGUGAGUUCCAGAACAGUGAGGAGGCCAGGGUGGUUACAGUAGAGUCACUGAGGGAGAGAGUAGUGGGCACUCAGAGGGCAGCAGGACCAGGUCACGUAGGGCCUUAGGUCAUUGUGCAGAGUGGCGUGAACUCUGAGGGCCACAGAAUUCAUUGGAAGAUUGUGAGAGGAGGCAUGCCAUAUUCUGAUGUGGCUUUUAAGAUUACUCUGGCUGUUGAUUGAGACUCGAGAAAAACCAAGUCAAAUGCAUCAGCCAGGAGACCAGCUAGGAGGCUAUGGCAAUAAUCCAGAUAAGACAGUGUGGUGGCUUGGACUAGGGUGGUAACAGUAGAGGUGGUCAGAGAUGGUUGAGUCGGGAUACAUUUUUAAGAUGAUGCCAACAGAACUCCAGGUCCCUGUACCCAGUUGCCUGUUGGAUAUUUGUAAGUUCCCUGGCACCUCAGAUUCAUCAUGUCUGAAAUUCAACUCAUUGUCUUCCCCCUAGAAAUCUUCAUCCCUCCUGCACAUUCCUCUGUUAAUAUCACUCCCAUCCAGCCAGUUGCCCAAGCCAGAAACCUGGUCAUCAUCCAUGAUUCCUCCUUCUGUCCACUUCCCACGUCAAAUUGGCCACCAUGUUCCAUCCAGUCUACUCUUUCCUUCUUCAUCCCCACUUCCUCUGCCUUUAUUCAGUCCCGCAUCCCUCUGGACCGUCUCAAGUUUCCCUCCUUUGGCCUGGCAUCAGCAAACUCCACAUGGCACCAGACGAAUCAUUAUGGGAAGCAGACCACAUCUCUUUAAAGUCUUCCAAGACUCUGUUUCCUGUUGAAUAAAGCCAAAAUCUUCUGGCCCAAAGCUGCCUAAAAGAAACAUAAUGUGAGCCACAUAUGUAGUUUGGAAUUUUCUAGCAGUCACAUUUUAAAAAAUAAAAAUAAACAGAUGAAAUUAAUCGUAAAUAUGUGAUUAACCUAAUACAUUCAAAAUAUUAUCAUUUUAACAUGUAAUCAACAUAGGGAUAUUUUAUACUCUUUAUUUACUAACUUUUCAAAGUCCAGUCUAUGGUUUGCACUUACAGCACAUCUCAGCUUGGACCGGCCACACUUUAGGCACUCAGUAGUGAUGUGUGGGUACCAAAUCGCACAGUGCAGCUCUCGCCUUCCAGCCAAAGCCCUCUCCCAGGGUCUUUUCUACUUCUCUAGUCUCAUCCCUCUUUCCAUUCCACCUUCCCCCCACCGCUGGUUCCUUGUGCCCCAGCAGCUCUUAUCAACUUGUAGUACCCUAAACACACCAUGCUGUUUCACAACUCCCUGCCAUUGCACAUAAGUUCAGGGCGUGCUGGAGAGAGCUUGAACUGAUUCUCAACAGCCAGCCGUGCACAUCUCUUCCCCACCCCCAAAUCAGUGAUGUCCUAUCGGUAGCUUGACAUCAGCCAUGCUGGAAGUAUUUACACCACAGAAAUCGGCAAACGCUAUAAACCAGGGCCUUUAGGGAGGCGACGGGAGGGCCAGUUGUUAAACACUAACCAGCAUCUCACUGCGCACAAUGCUCCCCCAUCCACAAUGCUCUUCUCCCACCCCCCGUUCAUCUGAUAACUUGCCAUCCAGUUAGUCGUCUGUGUAUGCUGGCUCCCCUCCUAGACUUCAAGUUCAGAAAACAGCCUAGUUUUCUGUAUCUAAUUCUGGGCACAUGAUAGAGUCCCUCCCUCCUCUUCUGUUUUUCAUUACCCUGAACACCCUAUCAUAAUUACUGUAUGUAAGAGGCCACAAAAAGAAGAAGUUUGAAAUAUGUUUAAAAAGGAAACCUAUCGGGGCUGGCCCCGUGACCGAGUGGUUAAG